rnacentral:rRNA from 1 species
UAGAGUUUGAUCAUGGCUCAGAACGAACGCUGGCGGCAGGCCUAACACAUGCAAGUCGAGCGAGAUCUUCGGGUCUAGCGGCGGACGGGUGAGUAACGCGUGGGAAUAUGCCCUUCUCUACGGAAUAGCCUCGGGAAACUGAGAGUAAUACCGUAUACGCCCUUUGGGGGAAAGAUUUAUCGGAGAAGGAUUAGCCCGCGUUGGAUUAGCUAGUUGGUGGGGUAAAGGCCUACCAAGGCGACGAUCCAUAGCUGGUCUGAGAGGAUGAUCAGCCACACUGGGACUGAGACACGGCCCAGACUCCUACGGGAGGCAGCAGUGGGGAAUAUUGGACAAUGGGCGCAAGCCUGAUCCAGCCAUGCCGCAUGAGUGAUGAAGGCCCUAGGGUUGUAAAGCUCUUUCACCGGUGAAGAUAAUGACGGUAACCGGAGAAGAAGCCCCGGCUAACUACGUGCCAGCAGCCGCGGUAAU